UGCGUAGGUGGUUUCUUAAGUCAGAGGUGAAAGGCUACGGCUCAACCGUAGUAAGCCUUUGAAACUGGGAAACUUGAGUGCAGGAGAGGAGAGUGGAAUUCCUAGUGUAGCGGUGAAAUGCGUAGAUAUUAGGAGGAACACCAGUUGCGAAGGCGGCUCUCUGGACUGUAACUGACACUGAGGCUCGAAAGCCAGGGGAGCGAACG
rnacentral:rRNA from 1 species